rnacentral:rRNA from 1 species
GAUUCGUCACACUAUCAUUAACUGAAUCCAUAGGUUAAUGAGGCGAACCGGGGGAACUGAAACAUCUAAGUACCCCGAGGAAAAGAAAUCAACCGAGAUUCCCCCAGUAGCGGCGAGCGAACGGGGAGGAGCCCAGAGCCUGAAUCAGCAUGUGUGUUAGUGGAAGCGUCUGGAAAGGCGCGCGAUACAGGGUGACAGCCCCGUACACAAAAGCGCAUGUGCUGUGAGCUCGAUGAGUAGGGCGGGACACGUGGUAUCCUGUCUGAAUAUGGGGGGACCAUCCUCCAAGGCUAAAUACUCCUGACUGACCGAUAGUGAACCAGUACCGUGAGGGAAAGGCGAAAAGAACCCCGGCGAGGGGAGUGAAAAAGAACCUGAAACCGUGUACGUACAAGCAGUGGGAGCACCCUUCGGGGUGUGACUGCGUACCUUUUGUAUAAUGGGU